UACGUAGGGUGCGAGCGUUAAUCGGAAUUACUGGGCGUAAAGCGUGCGCAGGCGGUUAUGUAAGACAGAUGUGAAAUCCCCGGGCUCAACCUGGGAACUGCAUUUGUGACUGCAUAGCUAGAGUACGGUAGAGGGGGAUGGAAUUCCGCGUGUAGCAGUGAAAUGCGUAGAUAUGCGGAGGAACACCGAUGGCGAAGGCAAUCCCCUGGACCUGUACUGACGCUCAUGCACGAAAGCGUGGGGAGCAAUCAGG
rnacentral:rRNA from 1 species